GGCGUCAUAGCUCAGCUGGGAGAGCAGCAGACUGAAGUCACGUGAUUACAUAUCUGAAGGUCCCGUGUUCAAUCCACGGUGAUGCCA